rnacentral:lncRNA from 1 species
CGCGUCACUCUUUCCAUGAAGUACCACUUCCGACACACCAGUGCCAUCGCGUUACGCGAUCGCGUAUCGUUGGAUAAUCCGACGAUGUUCAUCUGUAUCACCUCGGGCAAAUCCUGAAGGUGCGUUCCUCCCAUCUCUCCCUCUCCCUCCUCUCACGAAUGAUUAAGUUAUGAAAGAGAGAGGUAAGUAGCUAGGGAUUAGGAUUUAGGUGUGAUGACUGAGGAGUGGGGACGAUUGGAUGUGACAUGUGAAUAUGUGAUUGUCCGAUGGAUGAUCCCAACCGUCCAUUUAUCUCAGCUUACCAUCGUGGUUCGGGUAGUGGGUGGGUAUGUCAACAUCGGGGUACUACGGUUAAGGAUAGACAGACGUGGUUAGUAAAAAUAAAAUAUUUAAAUUUUAACAGCUCAUUAUCUUAUUCUUUCAAACUUAAAUAUAACUAUAUAAGGUUGGAUGGAUGACUAUAAAAGUUUGUUUGUGUAUCAAUGUCAAUCUAAGUCUUUUAAUAAACUUCAGGAUUUAAUCUUAAUCUUUCGUUUGAGAUCUAUGAAUGAUUUAUUAAAUUUUGUUUGUUCUCAUCAGAAAUUCACGCCUUAAAUACAUACCAUCAGCAAUUAAGCAGGCAGGCGGAGGAAGACUUAUAAAGUAGAUCUCACAUCCACACAAAAAUAUUGCAUUUUAUCUAAC